CCUCCUCCUCCUUUCUUUCCCUCUCUCCCCCCCUCCCUCUCUCUGCUCUCUUUUGCUUGCCGAGGAAAAUACAAAACUGGAAUGGAAUGCUCCCACGUCCCCGGUACAGACCUUUGCCGUAAACCUGCGUGGCCUCUCUCACCUUGGCCUCUUACAAAGCUACCUCCUUUGCUCUCUGUUAAGUCUCUUGCAGCUUUUUCUCCCAGGGCAGCAAGUUCACAGAUCAUGGCUGGUGGGAACCGGAGGAGCGUGUACGAAUGUGCCCUUGCCUUCCUGCCGCCUCACGGCUCCACGGUGUCGUCUGACAGAACCAUGGGUCCUUUAGUGACAAAUACCUGGCGGUAUAUAUCAGAGAUAUGGCUUUCGUUUAUUAUUGUACGUAUUCUGGAGGGGUUGGUUUGAGUGGGUCAAGUGGACCAAUAGCUCCCGUCUCUCAUGGGCCAGCGCAACAGCAAGGACCAUGGCAUCGCCUUGUGCGACUGCCCACUCAAGUGGGCCUCCUGGGUCGCCGUCUGCUCUCGGUGAAUUCGCACAGUUUUUAAAGGUUUAUUGUGAGAACCGGCUCUCAAAGUUUCUACUAGAAGACACAGUGCUCCAGAAAUCAACGGGCACAAAUGAAAACCACGCAGAGCUCUUGCACCUUCUGAAAUAAACAUCAAAUAAAAUGUCCUAAGGUGGAUGUUGAGUCGCUCCCUUCUGAUCUGGCUCGCGUUUAUAAAGGUGUCAAGUUUAUCGAACUUCCCCUCAUAGAGGGGACAGAGAAAUGGAAACGCUGGUCUCCCUCGGUCUGAAUGACUACCCAGAUAACUGUACAUUUCUAUGUAAAUUUAC
rnacentral:lncRNA from 1 species